ensembl:lncRNA
GCCAUACUUUUAAAGGGGUAAUUCGCUGCUGGGAAAAGGGGGUUUUAAUAAAAAUUGGCUGUCUAAGACAGUGCUACAUAACUAGAGAAUACAAAGAGACAUGCGUAAUUUUUCCUAUUUGACCGUUCUCUCUCACACACACACAUACAUUAUAUGUGUGUAUAUAAAUCCCUUUUUUUAUUGACCAUGCUUUUAAUUUCCUAUAAGGUAUUUGAUUGGCUUAGAAUGAUAAAAAUUGUUCCACUCAUUCCAAUUACACUGAUUGCUGUCUAUUUAAGUGGUGGUUUGAAUGUUGGUUUUAAUGUAUCAAACAUGGAAUCAAAACCAAGAAGGGCGAGAAAGCCCAACUGGACAGAGGAGCAGUGUUUACUGUUAGCCCAGUUAGUGGAUGAACACAAGGCCAUCCUUAAAGGAAAAUUCGGGCCGGGUGUCACAGCACGGGACAAGAAGCAGACAUGGGAGCGUAUAGCACAAACUAUUAACGGUUCAUUCCCCCUGCUUGUGCGGACCAGUGAAGACUGUGAAAAACGCUGGUAUGUGCUGCAAUCGAAAGCCAGAGAGGAAAUUGCAGCACACAAGCGGGAGUCAUCAUGCACAGGGGGGGGACCACCUGCUAAACAGCUGUCCCAAGUAGCCCAAACCGUGUUCAACAUCUUAGGUCACUCAGAAACAAGGAUUACCGGUUUGAAGGAGGGCACAGACAGCUCAAUGAUUCAGCUGGUGGAACUACAAAAAUGUAGCACAGAGCUUUCAGCAGAGGAAUGGGGACCGUCGACAUCGCAGAUGGGUGACCCCCAGCCCGAAGCGCCUCAUUCCCUGCCUUCUGCUGCCACUGCAGCUGCUCCAACACCAUCCCUAGAAGACAAAAAACUGGAGAUGGAGAUGGAUGUCCUAAAGCAGCAGAAAAUAGUACUUCAUCUACAGGAGGAGUACUACAAACUAAAAAUUGAGCUACUCAAAAAUAAAACUAAUAACAAAUAA